CGGACACCAGAAUCUCUAGAAGUGUAAAAUAUGUUUUUUCAAAAUGAUUUUCAUGAUUUUAUUGUUUGGUUUUGAGUUAAAAGUUUUAAAGAAGAAAAGAAAAGAGAUUGAGGGAAAGGCCCAGGUUCGGCCGCCGAACAUGGUGGAGUUUCGGAAGCUCCUUUGGCUCCCGAAGGUGGUGUAACGACCCGGAAACCAGACCGCUACCGGCGCUAGGAUUCAGAUCGACUUAAGGUCGCC
rnacentral:lncRNA from 1 species